rnacentral:lncRNA from 1 species
UGGGAAACAAACGAACUUGAUGCACCAGGAAGAAGAAGAUUAAGAUGGGUUCAAAAAUAUUUCAUGAUUUAUAACUAUUGCACUGAUUUGAAACGUUUCCCUCAAGGUGUUCCACCAGAGUGUAAACGCCCAAGGUUCUAAAAUCAAACCUGUUCCACCAGAGUGUAAACGCCCAGGGUUCUAAAAUCAAACCUCUCCUCUUUUCCAUGUAAUAUAUUCUUUUUUUCACUACUUUCUUACUAUGUAUUCAAGUUGAAUAAGUUAUUAUUAUUAUUAUUAUUCUUUUUAUGUAUUUUUAUUUCUCUUUGUUGCUUCUUAAAUCAUCUUGAAAAUAGAUGUAAAUUCC